GAUGAACGCUAGCUACAGGCUUAACACAUGCAAGUCGAGGGGUAACAAGAGGAAAGCUUGCUUUUCUUGUUGACGACCGGCGCACGGGUGAGUAACGCGUAUCCAACCUGCCUAUAACUAGGGAAUAACCUUGCGAAAGUAAGACUAAUACCCUAUGAUUUCCUUUGAUGACAUCAGAUUAGGAAUAAAGAUUUAUCGGUUAUAGACGGGGAUGCGUCUGAUCAGCUUGUUGGCGGGGUAACGGCCCACCAAGGCAACGAUCAGUAGGGGUUCUGAGAGGAAGGUCCCCAACAUUGGAACUGAGACACGGUCCAAACUCCUACGGGAGGCAGCAGUGAGGAAUAUUGGUCAAUGGGCGGAAGCCUGAACCAGCCAAGUAGCGUGCAGGAUGACGGCCCUAUGGGUUGUAAACUGCUUUUAUACAGGAAUAAAGUUAGCCACGUGUGGUUAUUUGUAGGUACUGUAUGAAUAAGGACCGGCUAAUUCCGUGCCAGCAGCCGCCGUAA
rnacentral:rRNA from 1 species